GAACUGAAACAUCUUAGUACCCGGAGGAAGAGAAAGAAAAUUCGAUUCCCUUAGUAGCGGCGAGCGAAACGGGAAGAGCCCAAACCAACAAGCUUGCUUGUUGGGGUUGUAGGACACUCUAUACGGAGUUACAAAGGACGACAUUAGACGAAUCAUCUGGAAAGAUGAAUCAAAGAAGGUAAUAAUCCUGUAGUCGAAAAUGUUGUCUCUCUUGAGUGGAUCCUGAGUACGACGGAGCACGUGAAAUUCCGUCGGAAUCUGGGAGGACCAUCUCCUAAGGCUAAAUACUCUCUAGUGACCGAUAGUGAACCAGUACCGUGAGGGAAAGGUGAAAAGCACCCCGGAAGGGGAGUGAAAUAGAACCUGAAACCGUGUGCUUACAAGUAGUCAGAGCCCGUUAAUGGGUGAUGGCGUGCCUUUUGUAGAAUGAACCGGCGAGUUACGAUUUGAUGCAAGGUUAAGCAGUAAAUGUGGAGCCGUAGCGAAAGCGAGUCUGAAUAGGGCGUUUAGUAUUUGGUCGUAGACCCGAAACCAGGUGAUCUACCCUUGGUCAGGUUGAAGUUCAGGUAACACUGAAUGGAGGACCGAACCGACUUACGUUGAAAAGUGAGCGGAUGAACUGAGGGUAGCGGAGAAAUUCCAAUCGAACCUGGAGAUAGCUGGUUCUCUCCGAAAUAGCUUUAGGGCUAGCCUCAAGUGAUGAUUAUUGGAGGUAGAGCACUGUUUGGACGAGGGGCCCCUCUCGGGUUACCGAAUUCAGACAAACUCCGAAUGCCAAUUAAUUUAACUUGGGAGUCAGAACAUGGGUGAUAAGGUCCGUGUUCGAAAGGGAAACAGCCCAGACCACCAGCUAAGGUCCCAAAAUAUAUGUUAAGUGGAAAAGGAUGUGGCGUUGCCCAGACAACUAGGAUGUUGGCUUAGAAGCAGCCAUCAUUUAAAGAGUGCGUAAUAGCUCACUAGUCGAGUGACACUGCGCCGAAAAUGUACCGGGGCUAAACAUAUUACCGAAGCUGUGGAUUGUCCUUUGGACAAUGGUAGGAGAGCGUUCUAAGGGCGUUGAAGCAUGAUCGUAAGGACAUGUGGAGCGCUUAGAAGUGAGAAUGCCGGUGUGAGUAGCGAAAGACGGGUGAGAAUCCCGUCCACCGAUUGACUAAGGUUUCCAGAGGAAGGCUCGUCCGCUCUGGGUUAGUCGGGUCCUAAGCUGAGGCCGACAGGCGUAGGCGAUGGAUAACAGGUUGAUAUUCCUGUACCACCUAUAAUCGUUUUAAUCGAUGGGGGGACGCAGUAGGAUAGGCGAAGCGUGCGAUUGGAUUGCACGUCUAAGCAGUAAGGCUGAGUAUUAGGCAAAUCCGGUACUCGUUAAGGCUGAGC
rnacentral:rRNA from 1 species